UACGGGGGGGGGCAAGCGUUGUUCGGAAUUACUGGGCGUAAAGGGCUCGUAGGCGGCCAACUAAGUCAGACGUGAAAUCCCUCGGCUUAACCGGGGAACUGCGUCUGAUACUGGAUGGCUGGAGGUUGGGAGAGGGAUGCGGAAUUCCAGGUGUAGCGGUGAAAUGCGUAGAUAUCAGGAGGAACACCGGUGGCGAAGGCGGCUAUCUGGACAGAAACUGACGCUGAGGCGCGAAAGCUAGGGGAGCAAGCAGG
rnacentral:rRNA from 1 species